rnacentral:rRNA from 1 species
CCUACGGGAGGCAGCAGUCGAGAAUUAUUCACAAUGGGGGAAACCCUGAUGGUGCGACGCCGCGUGGGGGAAUGAAGGUCUUCGGAUUGUAAACCCCUGUCAUGUGGGAGCAAAUUAAAAAGAUAGUACCACAAGAGGAAGAGACGGCUAACUCUGUGCCAGCAGCCGCGGUAAUACAGAGGUCUCAAGCGUUGUUCGGAAUCACUGGGCGUAAAGCGUGCGUAGGCUGUUUCGUAAGUCGUGUGUGAAAGGCGGGGGCUCAACCCGCGGACGGCACAUGAUACUGGGAGACUAGAGUAAUGGAGGGGGAACCGGAAUUCUCGGUGUAGCAGUGAAAUGCGUAGAUAUCGAGAGGAACACUCGUGGCGAAGGCGGGUUCCUGGACAUUAACUGACGCUGAGGCACGAAGGCCAGGGGAGCGAAAGGGAUUAGAUACCCUUGUAGUC